rnacentral:rRNA from 1 species
UACGUAGGGCGCAAGCGUUGUCCGGAAUUAUUGGGCGUAAAGAGCUCGUAGGCGGUUUGUCGCGUCUGCUGUGAAAACCUGAGGCUCAACCUCGGGCUUGCAGUGGGUACGGGCAGACUAGAGUGCGGUAGGGGUGACUGGAAUUCCUGGUGUAGCGGUGGAAUGCGCAGAUAUCAGGAGGAACACCGAUGGCGAAGGCAGGUCACUGGGCCGCAAC